GGUGCCCUUCUUGUUAAGUGGGCAAAACUGCAGUUUUUACUCUGCAGCUUGCGCCUGCGUUUUUUGACGUAAACUUUCUGGCCUGCUGGUUUCGGGUGACUCGCAUUUACCGUUCGCGGAAUCAUCGUAUUUCUAUCCACCACUGCUUCCCCGGCAUGUAGGCAGUCUUUUUCGCUGCACCGCACAAUGACUCGUCAACCGUUCUCGCUCUCGGACCGCCGUGACCGUAUCUCGUUGUGUGACCCCUUUGCCGUGUGAUGUGUGGAUGGACGGUGUUUUCAUCAAGUUUACGCGUGUCCCUAGGCCUAAGCCCGUGCUCCGAGCCACCUCUAGGGCCUCAUGAGCGCUAAUUGCUCGCCAAAUCACUAAGAAAUCACAGACUGCAAAGUGAAGACUCGAGGGGCCACCGGCAACCGACCGAUGGUAGGAGAGACCUCUUACUCCAAAGUCUCUACCAUACUGCCGCCCGGCGUACCUGCAUUCGAGGACGGCCACUGCAAAGAUAACAUGCCGCAAGUCGUCAAGAAAUGGCAAGUCUUCCCGGGAAGAAACAAGUUCUACUGCGACGGCAGGCUCAUGAUGGCGAGACAGACGGGCGUCUUCUACGUCACCGUCGUGCUGAUCGUCGGGACUUGCACGCUGUUUUUUGUGUGCGAUUGCCCUUACCUGGCUCGUGAGAUCAGCCCCGCCAUCCCUGCAGUGGCAGCAGUGUUGUUUCUGUUUGUGAUGUCUGCACUGUUUAGAACUAGUUUUAGUGAUCCUGGAGUCAUUCCCAGGGCCAGUCCUGAAGAAGCAGCUGACAUCGAAAAACAAAUAGAGGUGCCAAAUGGGUCGAGCUCCCCGACUUUCCGGCCACCUCCCCGCACCAAAGAAGUGGUGGUGAGUGGCCAGACGGUCAAGCUCAAAUACUGCUUUACGUGCAAGAUAUUCCGGCCUCCGAGGGCUUCUCACUGCAGUCUCUGUGACAAUUGUGUUGAGAGGUUUGACCACCACUGCCCCUGGGUGGGCAACUGUGUAGGAAAAAGAAAUUAUCGGUACUUUUACGUAUUCAUCAUUUCACUUGCCUUCCUGUGUGUCUUCGUAUUUUCCUGCGUCAUCACGCACAUUGUCUUUGUUGCUCGUGAACACGAGUCAUACCUAGAAGCUGUGAAGGAAUCCCCUGCAAGUGUGGUUGAAGGAGUGGUUUGCUUCUUCUCUGUGUGGUCCAUCAUGGGCCUUGCGGGUUUCCACACCUACCUCACUACGUCCAACCAGACUACCAACGAAGAUAUCAAAGGCUCCUUCUCAUCAAGAAGAGGCCAAGACGUGUUCAAUCCAUACAGCAAGGGCUCCUUCAUCAGCAACUGCGCUUCAGUGCUGUGUAGCCCUGCACCUCCAAGCCUGAUUGAUCGGCGAGGUGUGGUGAUUGCAGACAGUGGACCAGUGUUGAGGGAGAGCUACGGUUCUGUUAAAGCAUUUCAUCUAUCAAGGAACGGUCUUCAGCUCAAUGCGAGCACCGCAAGCGGGGCAGUUGGCCCUACACCCAUGAUAGACAUGAAAUCCAGUCACGUGCCAUACGCCGGGCCCCCCUUGCAUACAGGGAGGGCUACAUUACCCCAAGCCGCCAAUGGCUCCUAUCCGCGGGACGUACUCUAUCAAAACUCUGGCAGCCAUGGUUGAUGUUUCUCCCUCCUCCUCUUCUUCUCUUUGCGAUUUACCUAACCUUUCCUCCAGUGCCUCCGAAAAGACAAGGAGGGGCCACAUACCCGUGGCCGUAGUGCCGCCGCAGUCGCGCCACCCAUCCGAGCCAAGUUCGAUCACCAAGGGUCUACUCCCAGACAGCAUCGAC
rnacentral:misc_RNA from 1 species